CGUGUUUUGCUUUCUACACAGUUUUCGCACUCACACAAUCACACAUGUGUGAAUGUGUGCGUUCACUUUCAGCCAGCGCGCUCAGUUUGGUUUUCUCGCAGCGGCUUGCUGGUGUCGGUGUCUUGCUCGCACUAGUGCAGCGAGUGUUCCUCGUGCGUUCCCUUUCUUGCUACCACACAAAAUCGUUAGUACAGUUCAAGCCUUCGCGGUGUGAGGCCGCGCGCGUUUUAGCCUAAGUCCCGGGCGCUCGAUUAUUCAACAUACACAACAUACAGGCAGUAAGGCGGGUGCUUGAAGUGACGAUUUUUUUUUAUUAUUUAUAAUAAAAAAUAUGUGUGGUUUUGUGGCAAGAUUGUGGUUAGCGAUGUGUGGAACUGUGCCUUAAGUUUCAAUAAAUUGUUAAAAUAUCAAACGA